UCUGGUGAUGAUGGCGUAGAGGAAACACUCCUUUCCAUUCCGAACAGGAAAGUUAAGCUCUACAGCGUCGAUGGUACUGCA
rnacentral:rRNA from 1 species